rnacentral:rRNA from 1 species
GUUAUAUGGUCAAGCGAAUAAGCGCACACGGUGGAUGCCUAGGCGGUCAGAGGCGAUGAAGGACGUGGUAGCCUGCGAAAAGUGUCGGGGAGCUGGCAACAAGCUUUGAUCCGGCAAUAUCCGAAUGGGGAAACCCACUGCUUCGGCAGUAUCCUGCAGUGAAUUCAUAGCUGCUGGAAGCGAACCCGGUGAACUGAAAUAUCUAAGUAACCGGAGGAAAAGAAAUCAACCGAGAUUCCCUAAGUAGUGACGAGCGAACGGGGAGCAGCCCUUAAGCUGGAAUGGCUUUAGAAAAACAAUCUGGAAAGAUUGGCCAUAGAAGGUGAUAGCCCUGUAUUUAAAAGGGCCACUCCAGUGAAGACGAGUAGGGCGGGGCACGUGAAACCCUGUCUGAAUAUGGGGGGACCAUCCUCCAAGGCUAAAUACUCCUGACCGACCGAUAGUGAACCAGUACCGUGAGGGAAAGGCGAAAAGAACCCCGGAGAGGGGAGUGAAAUAGAUCCUGAAACCGUGUGCGUACAAGCAGUAGGAGCUCGCAAGAGUGACUGCGUACCUUUUGUAUAAUGGGUCAGCGACUUACUGUUCGUGGCAAGCUUAACCGUAUAGGGGAGGCGAAGGGAAACCGAGUCUGAUAAGGGCGCAUAGUCGCGGGCAGUAGACCCGAAACCGGGUGAUCUAGUCAUGGCCAGGGUGAAGGUGCCGUAACAGGUACUGGAGGCCCGAACCCACGUCUGUUGCAAAAGACGGGGAUGAGCUGUGAUUAGGAGUGAAAAGCUAAUCGAACCCGGAGAUAGCUGGUUCUCCUCGAAAGCUAUUUAGGUAGCGCCUCGGACGAAUACUACUGGGGGUAGAGCACUGUUAUGGCUAGGGGGUCAUCGCGACUUACCAAACCAUUGCAAACUCCGAAUACCAGUACGUACUAUCCGGGAGACACACGGCGGGUGCUAACGUCCGUCGUGAAAAGGGAAACAACCCAGACCCACAGCUAAGGUCCCAAAUUCACUGCUAAGUGGAAAACGAUGUGGAAAGGCAUAGACAGCCAGGAGGUUGGCUUAGAAGCAGCCACCCUUUAAAGAAAGCGUAAUAGCUCACUGGUCGAGUCGGUCUGCGCGGAAGAUUUAACGGGGCUAAGCAGUGAACCGAAGCUUGGGGUGCGUAAAACUUCGGUUUUAUGCGCGGUAGAGGAGCGUUCCGUAAGCCUGCGAAGGUGGAUUGAGAAGUCUGCUGGAGGUAUCGGAAGUGCGAAUGCUGACAUGAGUAACGAUAAUGCGGGUGAAAAGCCCGCACGCCGAAAGCCCAAGGUUUCCUUGCGCAACGUUAAUCGACGCAGGGUUAGUCGGUCCCUAAGGCGAGGGCGAAAGCCGUAGUCGAUGGGAAGCAGGUUAAUAUUCCUGCACCUCGCGUGAGUGCGAUGGAGGGACGGAGAAGGUUAGGUGUACCGGGCGUUGGUUGUCCCGGGGAAAGGCGGUAGGUUUGGAUCUUUGGCAAAUCCGGGAUCCUUUAAGACCGAGCACCGAGACGAGCCUUUAUGGCGAAGUCACUGAUACCACGCUUCCAGGAAAAGCUCCUAAGCUUCAGCUCACGAAGACCGUACCGUAAACCGACACAGGUGGGUAGGAUGAGAAUUCUCAGGCGCUUGAGAGAACUCGGGUGAAGGAACUAGGCAACAUGGCACCGUAACUUCGGGAGAAGGUGCACCCUUUUUGGUGGCUCAUGCGAGCUAUAGCUGAAGAGGGUCGCAGAAACCAGGCCGCUGCGACUGUUUAUCAAAAACACAGCACUCUGCAAACACGAAAGUGGACGUAUAGGGUGUGACGCCUGCCCGGUGCUGGAAGGUUAAUUGAUGGGGUCAGCCGCAAGGCGAAGCUCUUGAUCGAAGCCCCAGUAAACGGCGGCCGUAACUAUAACGGUCCUAAGGUAGCGAAAUUCCUUGUCGGGUAAGUUCCGACCUGCACGAAUGGCGUAACGACAGCGGCGCUGUCUCCACCCGAGACUCAGUGAAAUUGAAAUCGCUGUGAAGAUGCAGCGUUCCCGUGGCAAGACGGAAAGACCCCGUGAACCUUUACUAUAGCUUUACACUGAACGUUGAGUUCGUCUGUGUAGGAUAGGUGGGAGGCUAUGAAACUGUGGCGCUAGCUGCAGUGGAGCCAUCCUUGAAAUACCACCCUGUCGUGCUUGACGUUCUAACCUAGGUCCGUUAUCCGGAUCAGGGACCGUGUAUGGUGGGUAGUUUGACUGGGGCGGUCUCCUCCUAAAGAGUAACGGAGGAGCACGAAGGUACGCUCAGCGCGGUCGGACAUCGCGCACUGUGUGCAAAGGCAUAAGCGUGCUUGACUGCAAGAUCGACGGAUCAAGCAGGUACGAAAGUAGGUCUUAGUGAUCCGGUGGUUCUGUAUGGAAGGGCCAUCGCUCAACGGAUAAAAGGUACUCCGGGGAUAACAGGCUGAUACCGCCCAAGAGUUCAUAUCGACGGCGGUGUUUGGCACCUCGAUGUCGGCUCAUCACAUCCUGGGGCUGUAGUCGGUCCCAAGGGUAUGGCUGUUCGCCAUUUAAAGUGGUACGCGAGCUGGGUUCAGAACGUCGUGAGACAGUUCGGUCCCUAUCUGCCAUGGGCGUUGGAAGUUUGAGAGGGGCUGCUCCUAGUACGAGAGGACCGGAGUGGACGAACCUCUGGUGUUCCGGUUGUCACGCCAGUGGCAUUGCCGGGUAGCUAUGUUCGGAAGCGAUAACCGCUGAAAGCAUCUAAGCGGGAAGCGCGCCUCAAGAUGAGACUUCCCGGGCACAAGCCCCCUAAAGGAACCAUGUAGACUACGUGGUUGAUAGGUCAGGUGUGUAAGUACAGCAAUGUAUUGAGCUAACUGAUACUAAUGAUCCGUGCGGCUUGACCAUAUAACCU